CUGCUGUUGAAAAAAAGUCAAGAAACAAAACUGAUGUCACGUCGUGAGCAUGGUUAAUAAAGUGUGCAUUUAGUAAAGGAGUCUGUUCACGCAAAGUGUCCUUUUGUUUCUCGAUUCCUCAAUCUGUGUUAUCCCACCGGUGUCCCGUCCACCUACACGUGGUUGAAACAGUGAAACAGUCCAGAGAAAACCUUGUUGGAAUAGGUUGCGAAGUACAAAUACGAACACAAACUGAAUACAAACUGUAGACAGUGAAGUACUCAAAUGUUCAGUGGCAGCAACACAGGAGUAGAUGAAUUGCCAGACAAUAUGUUCUACCAAUCAACAUGGAAAUUAACAUGGAUAAAAAUUUUCACAUCAUACAAAGUAUGACUGUUGAAAAAUAUGCUAGACAGUGAAAAGUACAUCAACAUUAGUGUCGAAAAGCGUUGGUUAGUCCAGGUAAAUUGCAGGUUGGCUUUGCCUACAUGUUCCAGGUUUGCAACAAAGUUUUUUCAAGUGCUGAGUGGGGUCGGUGGGGUGGGGUGUUAUGAAACUUAAAGACCAGAUAAAAUGAAAAGUCAACCUUCUUGAUUAUCCAAUAAUCAAGCUGAAGUUUUCAUGUGGCAUAGGUGCUUUUGGCCCAAUCCAAUAAGCUAAGCUGUGUCUUACAAAUCUAAGGAAAUCCUAUUUGCAAGGUUUAACAUCAGGAUCAAGUCAAAACUUCUUUGAUUGCUUUCUAUGUGCGCAUGGUUUUGUUGCAGUCAGCUGGUGAAAGGUGUAAUCUUGUAAAGUUGAGCUGUUGCAUGCAGUGGAUGUGUGCAUGGUGCUGGUCUGGUCUGGUCUGGUGUUACCUUUGGGAGUUCAUGGUCAGUGAUGUUUGAGCUGUUUUUGGUGUUGCUGUUUGGUGAACAGUGGUUUUGCAGUCCCUUUCCAGUUGAGAGAUGCUCUGAAAUGGAACUUGUGCAGACUUGUAGUUCAACAUCACACUUAAAUGUGUCAUUUGUCUAUGUUGGUGUCCAUGCAGUAUAUGCAGUGUUGAACAGUUGGGGUAAAAUAGUCUAUGCUGCCUGAUGGCUGUCGCCUGUCGGUCUUAUUUUAUCGGUUGCAUUUUGUCGAUAUGUCGUCUCUUGCUACCUCUGCCGGCGUUGAGUUGAAACGUUAGCCGCCGUUCCUUAGACUUGAUUCACCGGUGAAACUAAGAAGACGUAGCUGAAAUUCAAGAUUGAUCAAUAAAUUAUGUAGAUAAAUUACACGUGCAUAAUCUGGGUUCCCUUCUUCAGUGGCCCCGUUCCCCUAACUAACCAAUAACCAACGCCCGCCAGUGGUCACUCACUCGCUGCGACAACCAGGAGGGAGAUGUCUGUCGAACGGGGACUUGCUAGGCGCAUGAUUCGAUUAAAUCUGUUGGAGGGUCAUGAGUCUAAGCCGGAAGCCUACUAUGAUGCAUUUCUCUCAUGAUAACUGCUCCUCGGCUCUCUUCGCUCUUUUUCCGGUUUCUCUUAACCAUGGCCGGGUAAUCUCCCUGGUCGAGUCAGUCGGGCAGUGUCUUCCCCUGCUUGACUGGCUGCAGUUUGAAUCGGACGGUCUGUUAAAAUAAGAAUUUAAAUCUAGAACAACGCUUCCUUUGAGCGGCCCGGACAAUCCUGAACCCUUUAGGGUUGCUAUUCCAUCGAGGCUUAAACGAGGAUGACGCGGAGGUGUUGCCCAUUGAGGGGUUUUGGUGACAAGGAGUCACUGAACGAAACGCCAAACCAAAUGAAGAAAAAACAUUAAAAAAGGUAAUGCUAGAUACGACAUGAAGCUUUUGCUUUCGCAGAGAAUAAUGUGUAUUUGUGUGCAACCAACGAUCCUUUAUGUAUCCGAGCCGAGUCCUUUCCAUCUAUUCGGUGUGAGGAGCAAAACCCGAAUUUCAACACAUUUUACUGCUUAGCAACGAAAACAAAGCGGGUGUCAAAACAUCUUUUUACUUGCGGCAUACUUUAUUGCGGUAGAAACGCGUUGAUCAUGUAACAGGGUGAAUUUUUUCCCUUUUGUUCAUGCAGCAUCAAACGACACGCGAUAGGUUCCGGCGGUCAUCAACUAUUCAAGAUGGUAGACCUGUCAAUGUAAAAGACAGGGAUCUCAUCGUUGAAUCUGCGGUUACAAAAUCCAUAGUAUUGUCAAUCAAUCAUUCGAUUUGUGUUUUACAUUCUCCUAAAUCAGUUGUGGAAAUACGAUUUUUUACCCCCGCUUAUCCUGGAUGGUUAUUUAGGAUCAUGUAAGUUCAUUUUUUAGUUAACGUUGUGAACGUAACGGACGAACUCUGACAGUCUAUCGAGCUUUAGCAAUUUCGUCAAAUUUCUUAUUUUAUUUAGUUGAUUUAACCGUUUUAUGAGAAACCUCGAUUUGUAUUUUUUUUAAAUUAAUAAUUUAUCUAUUUUUUAAUCUCUGUUUUGCGAUUUUUUGCUCCGGUUGCAGGUGCAAGGGUCAUAUGUUUGUAACUUAGAUAAGGUUGCAGUAGAAUAUUUCAAAAAAGCCAAUUGUUGUUCAAACGGUUCGAAAUUGAAUAUUUAUUCAUUCACUGAAUAAAUGAGUCAAAUGACUCAAAUGUCAAUUGGUAUAAAGUGACUAAAGUUUAAGCCAUUA